rnacentral:lncRNA from 1 species
UGUGUCAUAAGAAUGUCAACUUGUAGAGUUUAAUCAAUAUUCCAGAAAAAAGAACCAUUUAUGUAUUUCAAAAUUCCAAAACUAGAAAACCAAGCUGCUCAGUUGUCGUUCUGAAUAUGCAUGGCAUUUUUGGCUACUUAAUUUACCAUUGUUUAAACAAGGCAAAGUCAGUGACUUGCUAUUGGGAAACCAAACAGGCCUUUGAAACUGCGAUG